AACGAACGCUGGCGGCAGGCUUAACACAUGCAAGUCGAGCGCAUCCUUCGGGGUGAGUGGCAGACGGGUGAGUAACGCGUGGGAACGUGCCCUUCAGUUCGGGAUAACCCAGGGAAACUUGGGCUAAUACCGGAUACGUGCGAGAGCGGAAAGAUUUAUCGCUGAAGGAUAGGCCCGCGUCUGAUUAGCUAGUUGGUGGGGUAAUGGCCCACCAAGGCGACGAUCAGUAGCUGGUCUGAGAGGAUGAUCAGCCACAUUGGGACUGAGACACGGCCCAAACUCCUACGGGAGGCAGCAGUGGGGAAUAUUGGACAAUGGGCGCAAGCCUGAUCCAGCCAUGCCGCGUGAGUGAUGAAGGCCUUAGGGUUGUAAAGCUCUUUCGUCCGGGACGAUAAUGACGGUACCGGAAGAAGAAGCCCCGGCUAACUUCGUGCCAGCCGCCGCAGUAA
rnacentral:rRNA from 1 species